rnacentral:rRNA from 1 species
GGAAACUGGGUCUAGUACCAGAUAGGACGAUGGUUUGGAUGCCAUUGUGGAAAGUUUUUCGGUGUGGGAUGAGCUCGCGGCCUAUCAGCUUGUUGGUGGGGUAAUGGCCUACCAAGGCGACGAUCCAUAGCUGGUCUGAGAGGAUGAUCAGCCACACUGGGACUGAGACACGGCCCAGACUCCUACGGGAGGCAGCAGUGGGGAAUAUUGGACAAUGGGCGCAAGCCUGAUCCAGCCAUGCCGCGUGUGUGAAGAAGGCCUUCGGGUUGUAAAGCACUUUCAGUUGUGAGGAAAGGUUGA